UGUGACUAGUCCAGCAGGAGUUAGCGACAGGGAGGGCCGCUUGCCUGGGUUUAGUUGUGGGGGAGGAAGUGGCUAGUUUAGGGUCUCAGGGGACAAAUGCGGGAGUUGACCGAGUUAGAUGAGACUGGGGCUGUGGGGGUGCGAGGAGGCGAAAGAAUGAAAAGGAGACCAGAUCUUGGGAGGACCACAGUGGGGCGGGCUGCUUGGGAGUUGCCCGCAGUUACCCAUAGGGAGGACAGCAGCUCUCCAGGUCAGGCUGGGCCUGCUGCCUACCGGAGAGGGGGGACUUGACCUCCAGGAGGCCACUGCCUUUCAUGGAGUGAGGGAGCCCCAGGGCCCUGGUUUGGGUGAAAGGAGGCAGUGGUAGCGGAAUGGGGCACUUGAUGCCCUGGGAAUGGUCAGGAAAGGAGGACUGUAGGUGGGCUGGGAGGGCCGACCUUGAACUUGUCAAUGCUAGCAGCCCCCUUUUUUUACAGACAGAGGGUUGUGAACCAGCCUGGGAAUGAGGCCCUGGUCUUGUGGAAACUGAACUUAGCUCUGCUGGGGUGACAGCUCUGGCCCAGGCUGGUGGCAGUGCUCCCCUUUGGACUUUUCUCUAGGUUUGGUGCUAAACUCUUCUGUGAGCUCACUCUACCCCUCUCCCUUUAACUCUCUCAAGGGUAUCAUUCACUUAAAACGUUGCCUCUGGUAAUCUGGUAAGCCUGGGGAAGUAGCCUGAGUUCAGGGACUGUCGCAGUUGGUGUUGUUGGUAAUGGUCGAGUUGGAAAGGCUCUCCCCGCUGAGAGUUGGGGUGGGGUGGGUUGGUGUUGCUUGUUGGUGCAGAGGGUGGGGAUCAAAUGUGUACCCUUGGGCGGGCCCUCAGUAUUGGUUCCAGCUCAACGUUACACAGAUGCCUCAUGGACCUGGUUUGUUACUGUAGUGUUCAUCAUGGCGAGCAGAUGGCACCAGGAGAAAUGGAGCCCCUGGCCAGUGUGAGUCGUAGCAGUGCAGGAGGGGAGACCCUGGAGGAGAGCAGAGAGCCCGCCUAACUGCAGAUUGAAUUUCCAGAGGCUUAGGAGGAGGAAGUUCUCCGAUGUCAUGUUUUCAGGCCUUGCUCCAGCCCUGUAUUCAGGAGGCCACCAUUUAAGGUUUUCAGAUGAGCUUAUGAGGGGGCAAUCUUAAAAAGUCCAAAACAGAUGGAUCCGGCUUGAGGGGCCAUCCGCUUUGAAUGAAUGUUUGUUCCGGGAGCACAUGAAUGCCAGCAGGCACCCCUCCUUUCUUGGAGUAAAGGUUUUCAGAUGCUGCAUCUUCUAAAUUGAGCCUCCAGCCAUACUAGUUCUGUGCUACAUGCUACGAACUUUGUUUGCUUCAAGAAGAUUCUUUAGAACAUUUUAACAGUGAUGCCGCCACGGAGAGGGAUGCCUUGUAGAUGGAGCUUGCAGAUGGAGCCCAGUGAUCGCUCACCUACCCACCUGUUUGCCUACCUGCCUUGCCUGUGUGUUGCUCGGAGGAAUUCUUAGUGCAUUGAAUAAACUUGGGUGUUGGGGGGAAACUGUUCAAUUUAAAAUGCCUUAGAGGGGAUACAUUAGAUGAAGGAGAAUGUUAAAUUGAGGGGAUCAACGUGUUGUGCUAAAGUCUGGGGGUAGGGG